rnacentral:rRNA from 1 species
UACGUAGGUGGCAAGCGUUGUCCGGAUUUACUGGGCGUAAAGAGCGCGCAGGCGGUCGGAUCAGUCGAAUGUGAAAGCCCCCGGCUCAACUGGGGAGGGUCAUUCGAUACUGUCCGACUCGAAGGCAGGAGAGGGAAGCGGAAUUCCCGGUGUAGUGGUGAAAUGCGUAGAUAUCGGGAGGAACACCAGUGGCGAAGGCGACUUCCUGGCCUGUUCUUGACGCUGAGGCGCGAAAGCUAGGGGAGCAAACGGG